rnacentral:piRNA from 1 species
UGCAGAGGACCUACCUGGGUUUGAUGG